rnacentral:rRNA from 1 species
UACAGAGGGUGCGAGCGUUGUCCGGAAUCACUGGGCGUAAAGGGCGCGUAGGUGGCGGCCCAAGUCCAUGGUGAAAGCUCGAUGCUCAACAUCGAGUCGGCCACGGAUACUGGGUUGCUCGAGCACUGUAGGGGCAGAUGGAAUUCCGGGUGUAGCGGUGGAAUGCGUAGAGAUCCGGAAGAACACCGGUGGCGAAGGCGGGAACUCUGGGCCGAGUACGUGACGCUGAGGAGCGAAAGCGUGGGGAGCAACAGG